AUCAUGGCUCAGAAUCAACGCUGGCGGCGCGCUUAACACAUGCAAGUCGAGCGAGAAAGGGGAGCAAUCCCUGAGUAAAGCGGCGCACGGGUGAGUAACACGUGGGGCAUCUACCUCCUGAUGGGGAAUAACUCUGGGAAACCGGAGCUAAUACCGCAUAAGCCUGAGAAGGGAAAGUCGCAAGACGUCGGGAGAGGACCCCGCGGCCGAUUAGCUAGUUGGUGAGGUAACGGCUCACCAAGGCAAAGAUCGGUAGCCGGCCUGAGAGGGCACACGGCCACACUGGCACUGAAACACGGGCCAGACUCCUACGGGAGGCAGCAGUGGGGAAUCUUGCACAAUGGGGGAAACCCUGAUGCAGCGACGCCGCGUGAGCGAUGAAGCCUUCGGGGCGUAAAGUCUUCGGCCCGAACGAUAAUGACGGUACGGGAAAAAAGCUGCGGCUAACUACGC
rnacentral:rRNA from 1 species